UCAGCGACUUAUAUUCUGUAGCAAGGUUAACCGAAUAGGGGAGCCGAAGGGAAACCGAGUCUUAACUGGGCGUUAAGUUGCAGGGUAUAGACCCGAAACCCGGUGAUCUAGCCAUGGGCAGGUUGAAGGUUGGGUAACACUAACUGGAGGACCGAACCGACUAAUGUUGAAAAAUUAGCGGAUGACUUGUGGCUGGGGGUGAAAGGCCAAUCAAACCGGGAGAUAGCUGGUUCUCCCCGAAAGCUAUUUAGGUAGCGCCUCGUGAAUUCAUCUCCGGGGGUAGAGCACUGUUUCGGCAAGGGGGUCAUCCCGACUUACCAACCCGAUGCAAACUGCGAAUACCGGAGAAUGUUAUCACGGGAGACACACGGCGGGUGCUAACGUCCGUCGUGAAGAGGGAAACAACCCAGACCGCCAGCUAAGGUCCCAAAGUCAUGGUUAAGUGGGAAACGAUGUGGGAAGGCCCAGACAGCCAGGAUGUUGGCUUAGAAGCAGCCAUCAUUUAAAGAAAGCGUAAUAGCUCACUGGUCGAGUCGGCCUGCGCGGAAGAUGUAACGGGGCUAAACCAUGCACCGAAGCUGCGGCAGCGACGCUUAUGCGUUGUUGGGUAGGGGAGCGUUCUGUAAGCCUGCGAAGGUGUGCUGUGAGGCAUGCUGGAGGUAUCAGAAGUGCGAAUGCUGACAUAAGUAACGAUAAAGCGGGUGAAAAGCCCGCUCGCCGGAAGACCAAGGGUUCCUGUCCAACGUUAAUCGGGGCAGGGUGAGUCGACCCCUAAGGCGAGGCCGAAAGGCGUAGUCGAUGGGAAACAGGUUAAUAUUCCUGUACUUGGUGUUACUGCGAAGGGGGGACGGAGAAGGCUAUGUUGGCCGGGCGACGGUUGUCCCGGUUUAAGCGUGUAGGCUGGUUUUCCAGGCAAAUCCGGAAAAUCAAGGCUGAGGCGUGAUGACGAGGCACUACGGUGCUGAAGCAACAAAUGCCCUGCUUCCAGGAAAAGCCUCUAAGCAUCAGGUAACAUCAAAUCGUACCCCAAACCGACACAGGUGGUCAGGUAGAGAAUACCAAGGCGCUUGAGAGAACUCGGGUGAAGGAACUAGGCAAAAUGGUGCCGUAACUUCGGGAGAAGGCACGCUGAUAUGUAGGUGAGGUCCCUCGCGGAUGGAGCUGAAAUCAGUCGAAGAUACCAGCUGGCUGCAACUGUUUAUUAAAAACACAGCACUGUGCAAACACGAAAGUGGACGUAUACGGUGUGACGCCUGCCCGGUGCCGGAAGGUUAAUUGAUGGGGUUAGCGCAAGCGAAGCUCUUGAUCGAAGCCCCGGUAAACGGCGGCCGUAACUAUAACGGUCCUAAGGUAGCGAAAUUCCUUGUCGGGUAAGUUCCGACCUGCACGAAUGGCGUAAUGAUGGCCAGGCUGUCUCCACCCGAGACUCAGUGAAAUUGAACUCGCUGUGAAGAUGCAGUGUACCCGCGGCAAGACGGAAAGACCCCGUGAACCUUUACUAUAGCUUGACACUGAACAUUGAGCCUUGAUGUGUAGGAUAGGUGGGAGGCUUAGAAGUGUGGACGCCAGUCUGCAUGGAGCCGACCUUGAAAUACCACCCUUUAAUGUUUGAUGUUCUAACGUUGACCCGUAAUCCGGGUUGCGGACAGUGUCUGGUGGGUAGUUUGACUGGGGCGGUCUCCUCCUAAAGAGUAACGGAGGAGCACGAAGGUUGGCUAAUCCUGGUCGGACAUCAGGAGGUUAGUGCAAUGGCAUAAGCCAGCUUGACUGCGAGCGUGACGGCGCGAGCAGGUGCGAAAGCAGGUCAUAGUGAUCCGGUGGUUCUGAAUGGAAGGGCCAUCGCUCAACGGAUAAAAGGUACUCCGGGGAUAACAGGCUGAUACCGCCCAAGAGUUCAUAUCGACGGCGGUGUUUGGCACCUCGAUGUCGGCUCAUCACAUCCUGGGGCUGAAGUAGGUCCCAAGGGUAUGGCUGUUCGCCAUUUAAAGUGGUACGCGAGCUGGGUUUAGAACGUCGUGAGACAGUUCGGUCCCUAUCUGCCGUGGGCGCUGGAGAACUGAGGGGGGCUGCUCCUAGUACGAGAGGACCGGAGUGGACGCAUCACUGGUGUUCGGGUUGUCAUGCCAAUGGCACUGCCCGGUAGCUAAAUGCGGAAGAGAUAAGUGCUGAAAGCAUCUAAGCACGAAACUUGCCCCGAGAUGAGUUCUCCCUGACUCCUUGAGAGUCCUGAAGGAACGUUGAAGACGACGACGUUGAUAGGCCGGGUGUGUAAGCGCAGCGAUGCGUUGAGCUAACCGGUACUAAUGAACCGUGAGGCUUAACCUUACAACGCCGAAGGUGUUU
rnacentral:rRNA from 1 species